rnacentral:rRNA from 1 species
CCAUCGUCAAACAAAGAGAGUUUGAAGCCUUCAAAGAAAUUGUCCAAAGCCUCGAAAAAGGCAAACAUCGCAGUCUCAAAAGCUUCAUAAAGCUUCUUGAAAAAGCAUAUGAAAUGUCCAGUGACAGAAAAUAUCCAUUAGAUGAAGUAAUAUCUCACAUUAAAAAAAGGGUGGGCGCCUCAGAGACCAUACGCCGAGCACCGCCACACGGCGGUGAAGAUAUGGUCCAACACCAAUAGUUGGUGUUGCUCAAGGUAGCCAAAUGCCUUGUCGGGUAAGUUCCGACGUGCAUGAAUGGAUCAACGAGGGCCCCGCUGUCCCCGCGUAGUACCCGGUGAAUCCACAUAACGUGGACGAACAGUCCACGAUCUCCCAGCGGGAAAAGAAGUCCCUGUGGAGUUUUACUGCAGCCUGUCGCUGGAAUACGGUUGUGGAUGCAGAGUGUAGACGGGAGCCGUCGAUCCCGGUUUCUCCGGGAACUGGGGGAGGCGCCAAUGGAACACCGUCCUUCUGCAACCGUGUUUCUCACCGGCGCCUUUGGCGCUGGAACAACGGCAGGUGGGCAGUUUGGCUGGGGCGGCACGCCCUUGAAAAGAUAUCAAGGGCGCCCUAAGGUCGGCUCAGACGGGACA